GAUGAACGCUGGCGGCGUGCUUAACACAUGCAAGUCGAACGGUGAAGCUCCAGCUUGCUGGAGUGGAUCAGUGGCGAACGGGUGAGUAACACGUGAGCAACCUGCCCCUGACUCUGGAAUAAGCGCUGGAAACGGUGUCUAAUACUGGAUACGAGAAGGGUCCGCAUGGGCACUUUCUGGAAAGUUUUUCGGUUGGGGAUGGGCUCGCGGCCUAUCAGCUUGUUGGUGAGGUAAUGGCUCACCAAGGCGACGACGGGUAGCCGGCCUGAGAGGGCGACCGGCCACACUGGGACUGAGACACGGCCCAGACUCCUACGGGAGGCAGCAGUGGGGAAUAUUGCACAAUGGGCGAAAGCCUGAUGCAGCGACGCCGCGUGAGGGAUGACGGCCUUCGGGUUGUAAACCUCUUUCAGCAGGGAAGAAGCGAAAGUGACGGUACCUGCAGAAGAAGCACCGGCUAACUACGUG
rnacentral:rRNA from 1 species